AUUUUUUGUUUGAAUACUUUGAUAAGUUUUCUGAAGUGUGUUUCUCAAGUGUCGUAUUUAAUAAAUCAUGUUUCCAAGUGCUUUUAUACCAAGGUACGAGUUCCCUAAGGAAGUAUUAUGUCGUACUUUACUACAGUCCGACUUCUACGUACGUCUGCUGUAUUUUGGUUCACAACAAGUUUUGUUUUGGAUUUAAAAACUUCUUUAAAAUGGCUCCAUAUACGGGGUUCGGCAAAUCCUCAACAAAUCGAAACCGUUCUCAAUUUCCUGGACGAACAUAGAGAUUUAGCUCGCGGGAGAUUGAAUAGUUGAACCCAGCCAGGAAGAUAACCUGAGAGUCCAGCUGUAAAAGCUGCCUAAGUACCACCACCAUUGACACAAAAAUGCCGACUUUCACACCUUCCUCUCGACAUACACACUCUACAAGGAGACUGCCUACUACUAGGAGACUACAGAGGAUCUGCCAGCACAGGUGUAAGAAGCAGAUUGUAUCAAUAUGAAGAGGAGCGUGCACAGAGAGAGACGGUGCAAAACGCAGAGCUUGUAGGCAUCAGGGGCGAAUUGGCAGGCAUCAGUCCUACCCUGUUGCAGCUGCAUAACACAAUAAGGGAAUAUGUGGAUAGGAAUUAAGAUUUUGUUAGUGUUUUGUUAGUGUUCAUUAAUUGUGUUUAAUAUUUCUUUGUUAUUAAUUUGUAAUGUUUAAACAGGGUAAUAGUAAA